rnacentral:tRNA from 1 species
GGAGCCGUGUCAGAGCGGUCUAACGUACGACUUUGCUAAAGUCGCAGGGGUCUUAAAGCUCCUCGAGGGUUCGAAUCCCUCCGGCUCCG